rnacentral:rRNA from 1 species
CCUACGGGAGGCAGCAGUAGGGAAUCUUCCACAAUGGGCGAAAGCCUGAUGGAGCAACGCCCCGUGGGUGAAGAAGGUCUUCGGAUCGUAAAACCCUGUUGUUAGAGAAGAAAGUGCGUGAGAGUAACUGUUCACGUUUCGACGGUAUCUAACCAGAAAGCCACGGCUAACUACGUGCCAGCAGCCGCGGUAAUACGUAGGUGGCAAGUGUUAUCCGGAUUUAUUGGGCGUAAAGGGAGUGCAGGCGGCUUGGCAAGUCUGAUGUGAAAGGCUGGGGCUCAACC